rnacentral:rRNA from 1 species
UCGAGAAUCUUCGGCAAUGGGCGCAAGCCUGACCGAGCGACGCCGCGUGGAGGAUGAAGGCCCUCGGGUUGUAAACUCCUGUCGAGGGGGAAAAAGGUCUCGCAAGAGGCUUGAUUGAUCCCUGGAGGAAGCACGGGCUAAGUUCGUGCCAGCAGCCGCGGUAAGACGAACCGUGCGAACGUUAUUCGGAAUCAUUGGGCUUAAAGCGCGUGUAGGCGGAUAAGCACGUCCGACGCUGAAAUCCCCCGGCGCAACCGGGGAACGGGCGCGGAUACGGCUUGUCUGGAGGGGCGUAGGGGGACCUGGAGCUUCCGGUGGAGGGGUGAAAUGCGUUGAGAUCGGAAGGAACGCCCGUGGCGAAAGCGAGGUCCUGGACGCCUACUGACGCUGAGACGCGAAAGCCAGGGGAGCGAACG